AGCGAACGCUGGCGGCAGGCCUAACACAUGCAAGUCGAACGAACUCUUCGGAGUUAGUGGCGGACGGGUGAGUAACACGUGGGAACGUGCCUUUAGGUUCGGAAUAACUCAGGGAAACUUGUGCUAAUACCGAAUGUGCCCUUCGGGGGAAAGAUUUAUCGCCUUUAGAGCGGCCCGCGUCUGAUUAGCUAGUUGGUGAGGUAAAGGCUCACCAAGGCGACGAUCAGUAGCUGGUCUGAGAGGAUGAUCAGCCACAUUGGGACUGAGACACGGCCCAAACUCCUACUGGAGGCAGCAGUGGGGAAUCUUGCGCAAUGGGCGAAAGCCUGACGCAGCCAUGCCGCGUGGAUGAUGAAGGUCUUAGGAUUGUAAAUCCUUUCACCGGUGAAGAUAAUGACUGUAGCCGGAGAAGAAGCCCCGGCUAACUUCGUGCCAGCAGCCGCGGUAAAAC
rnacentral:rRNA from 1 species